AUCGCUUCUCGGCCUUUUGGCUAAGAUCAAGUGUAGUAUCUGUUCUUAUCAGUUUAAUUUUCUGGUUGACCCAUUCAUUCUUUGGUAGGAUGCUCUUUAACCUCCUAGUAUUUGAGUUCCUUCCAAAUUUUCUCUUGUUAUUGAGAUCACGUUUCAAAGCAUUGUGGUCUGAAAAUAUGUGGGAAAUAAUCCCA